rnacentral:rRNA from 1 species
UACGAAGGGGGCUAGCGUUGCUCGGAAUGACUGGGCGUAAAGGGCGCGUAGGCGGAUGGCACAGUCAGAUGUGAAAUUCCCGGGCUUAACCUGGGGGCUGCAUUUGAUACGUGUUGUCUUGAGUUCGGAAGAGGGUCGUGGAAUUCCCAGUGUAGAGGUGAAAUUCGUAGAUAUUGGGAAGAACACCGAUGGCGAAGGCAGCCCCCUGGGUCAAGACUGACGCUCAUGCACGAAAGCGUGGGGAGCAAACAGG